CCCCUUCCAACGACUUGCUGUAUUAUUGGAGUGGAUCUAUCCUGAUGAUUAGGCCACACUGACCGAAUUUCGUGUGAACGUAAAGCUGACCUAUCGCAAGCGGGAAGUAGGAAUGGUACAAAUGCUAUCCUCGCCGCUCUUCUGUCGCCCAGGUACCAACCAAGAACUAAUCAGACUACCAUCCAAGUAUUUCCGAGCUUUAACCAAAGAAAAUACAAGUGUUGGCUAUAGGCUGAAUAUGAAGAGCGAUGUUCCAAGGACCGGAGGCGGACUACAGCGGUACCACUUUAGGUUAACGAUCAGUAAUGCUGCAGUAGAAGAAACAUUUCUAGAUGCAUGCCAUUAAAUAUGAAAUUUGGAUAUUUCAGGCAUAUGUACUAAUCAUUGACGAAUCUCCUAUCUGUCUAAUGCCUUCAUUGUUAGGCCUCUGUACGACAUUGUGAUCUCUUCUCUGGAAUAUGAUACCAGUUUAGCAUCUCUUUGACAACUGCUUACGUCAGAGCCCAUGAACGUCAACAACGAGUUGUUGUAAAGCGAAAAUCAUGUUGAACCCAUUAUUGAUUUACGUACCUGUUAAUGAUUUUAAGUGCCAUGGGCGUGUUGAAUGGGCCUAACGUAACAUUAAUGUAACGGAAGAUAGUUAUGACAAAACUGACAUUUCAUGUACUUCUUAAACAAAACCAGAAACUGAUAUUUGAAUGUUUUCCUAUUAUUUUAUAUAUACCUUUUUAUGAAUACAUGCCCUGAUUCUAAUAAACAGUUGA